rnacentral:rRNA from 1 species
AUAUGUAUAAAAAGUAAAAAAUUUAAAAUAUUAAAUGGUAUAUCAUUAAAUUUAUAAGAUCUGGCGGUAUUUUAUGCAAAUUAGGGGAACCUGUUUAGUAAAUGAUGAUCCACAAUAGGAUAUACUUAUAGAGAAAUAUUUAUGUAUUGUUGUUUAUAGAUUAGUUUAAAAAAAAUAAGUUAAAAUAAUUUAUAAAUUAGUAAUUCAAAUCAAAAUGUAGUAUAUAGAUAAGAUAUAAUGGGUUACAAUAAUUAAAAUUUAAAUGAAUUUUAUAUUUUAAAAUAUAAAUGAAGGUGGAUUUAAAAGUAUAAAAAUUAAAUUAUUUUAAUUGAAAGUGUUUUAAAAUGUGU